rnacentral:tRNA from 4 species
GUAGAUGUAGUUUCAACAAAAACAUUAGAUUGUGAUUCUAAAAAUAGGGGUUAAAACCCCCUUAUCCACC